rnacentral:rRNA from 1 species
GGGUUGUGAGGUUAAGCGACUAAGCGUACACGGUGGAUGCCCUGGCAGUCAGAGGCGAUGAAGGACGUGCUAAUCUGCGAUAAGCGUCGGUAAGGUGAUAUGAACCGUUAUAACCGGCGAUUUCCGAAUGGGGAAACCCAGUGUGUUUCGACACACUAUCAUUAACUGAAUCCAUAGGUUAAUGAGGCGAACCGGGGGAACUGAAACAUCUAAGUACCCCGAGGAAAAGAAAUCAACCGAGAUUCCCCCAGUAGCGGCGAGCGAACGGGGAGCAGCCCAGAGCCUGAAUCAGUGUGUGUGUUAGUGGAAGCGUCUGGAAAGGCGCGCGAUACAGGGUGACAGCCCCGUACACAAAAAUGCACAUGCUGUGAGCUCGAUGAGUAGGGCGGGACACGUGGUAUCCUGUCUGAAUAUGGGGGGACCAUCCUCCAAGGCUAAAUACUCCUGACUGACCGAUAGUGAACCAGUACCGUGAGGGAAAGGCGAAAAGAACCCCGGCGAGGGGAGUGAAAAAGAACCUGAAACCGUGUACGUACAAGCAGUGGGAGCACGCUUCGGCGUGUGACUGCGUACCUUUUGUAUAAUGGGUCAGCGACUUAUAUUCUGUAGCAAGGUUAACCGAAUAGGGGAGCCGAAGGGAAACCGAGUCUUAACUGGGCGUUAAGUUGCAGGGUAUAGACCCGAAACCCGGUGAUCUAGCCAUGGGCAGGUUGAAGGUUGGGUAACACUAACUGGAGGACCGAACCGACUAAUGUUGAAAAAUUAGCGGAUGACUUGUGGCUGGGGGUGAAAGGCCAAUCAAACCGGGAGAUAGCUGGUUCUCCCCGAAAGCUAUUUAGGUAGCGCCUCGUGAAUUCAUCUCCGGGGGUAGAGCACUGUUUCGGCAAGGGGGUCAUCCCGACUUACCAACCCGAUGCAAACUGCGAAUACCGGAGAAUGUUAUCACGGGAGACACACGGCGGGUGCUAACGUCCGUCGUGAAGAGGGAAACAACCCAGACCGCCAGCUAAGGUCCCAAAGUCAUGGUUAAGUGGGAAACGAUGUGGGAAGGCCCAGACAGCCAGGAUGUUGGCUUAGAAGCAGCCAUCAUUUAAAGAAAGCGUAAUAGCUCACUGGUCGAGUCGGCCUGCGCGGAAGAUGUAACGGGGCUAAACCAUGCACCGAAGCUGCGGCAGCGACGCUUAUGCGUUGUUGGGUAGGGGAGCGUUCUGUAAGCCUGUGAAGGUGUACUGUGAGGUAUGCUGGAGGUAUCAGAAGUGCGAAUGCUGACAUAAGUAACGAUAAAGCGGGUGAAAAGCCCGCUCGCCGGAAGACCAAGGGUUCCUGUCCAACGUUAAUCGGGGCAGGGUGAGUCGACCCCUAAGGCGAGGCCGAAAGGCGUAGUCGAUGGGAAACAGGUUAAUAUUCCUGUACUUGGUGUUACUGCGAAGGGGGGACGGAGAAGGCUAUGUUGGCCGGGCGACGGUUGUCCCGGUUUAAGCGUGUAGGCUGGUUUUCCAGGCAAAUCCGGAAAAUCAAGGCUGAGGCGUGAUGACGAGGCACUACGGUGCUGAAGCAACAAAUGCCCUGCUUCCAGGAAAAGCCUCUAAGCAUCAGGUAACAUCAAAUCGUACCCCAAACCGACACAGGUGGUCAGGUAGAGAAUACCAAGGCGCUUGAGAGAACUCGGGUGAAGGAACUAGGCAAAAUGGUGCCGUAACUUCGGGAGAAGGCACGCUGAUAUGUAGGUGAAGUCCCUUGCGGAUGGAGCUGAAAUCAGUCGAAGAUACCAGCUGGCUGCAACUGUUUAUUAAAAACACAGCACUGUGCAAACACGAAAGUGGACGUAUACGGUGUGACGCCUGCCCGGUGCCGGAAGGUUAAUUGAUGGGGUCAGCGCAAGCGAAGCUCUUGAUCGAAGCCCCGGUAAACGGCGGCCGUAACUAUAACGGUCCUAAGGUAGCGAAAUUCCUUGUCGGGUAAGUUCCGACCUGCACGAAUGGCGUAAUGAUGGCCAGGCUGUCUCCACCCGAGACUCAGUGAAAUUGAACUCGCUGUGAAGAUGCAGUGUACCCGCGGCAAGACGGAAAGACCCCGUGAACCUUUACUAUAGCUUGACACUGAACAUUGAGCCUUGAUGUGUAGGAUAGGUGGGAGGCUUAGAAGUGUGGACGCCAGUCUGCAUGGAGCCGACCUUGAAAUACCACCCUUUAAUGUUUGAUGUUCUAACGUUGACCCGUAAUCCGGGUUGCGGACAGUGUCUGGUGGGUAGUUUGACUGGGGCGGUCUCCUCCUAAAGAGUAACGGAGGAGCACGAAGGUUGGCUAAUCCUGGUCGGACAUCAGGAGGUUAGUGCAAUGGCAUAAGCCAGCUUGACUGCGAGCGUGACGGCGCGAGCAGGUGCGAAAGCAGGUCAUAGUGAUCCGGUGGUUCUGAAUGGAAGGGCCAUCGCUCAACGGAUAAAAGGUACUCCGGGGAUAACAGGCUGAUACCGCCCAAGAGUUCAUAUCGACGGCGGUGUUUGGCACCUCGAUGUCGGCUCAUCACAUCCUGGGGCUGAAGUAGGUCCCAAGGGUAUGGCUGUUCGCCAUUUAAAGUGGUACGCGAGCUGGGUUUAGAACGUCGUGAGACAGUUCGGUCCCUAUCUGCCGUGGGCGCUGGAGAACUGAGGGGGGCUGCUCCUAGUACGAGAGGACCGGAGUGGACGCAUCACUGGUGUUCGGGUUGUCAUGCCAAUGGCACUGCCCGGUAGCUAAAUGCGGAAGAGAUAAGUGCUGAAAGCAUCUAAGCACGAAACUUGCCCCGAGAUGAGUUCUCCCUGACUCCUUGAGAGUCCUGAAGGAACGUUGAAGACGACGACGUUGAUAGGCCGGGUGUGUAAGCGCAGCGAUGCGUUGAGCUAACCGGUACUAAUGAACCGUGAGGCUUAACCUUACAACGCCGAAG